rnacentral:misc_RNA from 1 species
GACCAAAAAAUCCUCUGCUGCCUGCAAGAAAAUAGCAAACCAACAAAAUGAAAUGCUUUAAACCUAUUAUGAAUAGAACAAACCAUGCUCGCAUGAUAUUUCCCUACACCAAUUAUUGUUAUGCAUACACCACAUACAGUCAAGCUUGGAAUACAUCUACACACACAGGCGACCAUGUAUCAGUUUAUGCACUUUAGAGUACCUCUUGAAGUGCUACU